AUUGAACGCUGGCGGCAUGCCUUACACAUGCAAGUCGAACGGCAGCGGGGGCGAAGCUUGCUUUUCCUGCCGGCGAGUGGCGAACGGGUGAGUAAUACAUCGGAACGUGCCCUGUAGUGGGGGAUAACUAGUCGAAAGAUUAGCUAAUACCGCAUACGACCUGAGGGUGAAAGUGGGGGACCGCAAGGCCUCAUGCUAUAGGAGCGGCCGAUGUCUGAUUAGCUAGUUGGUGGGGUAAAGGCCUACCAAGGCGACGAUCAGUAGCUGGUCUGAGAGGACGAUCAGCCACACUGGGACUGAGACACGGCCCAGACUCCUACGGGAGGCAGCAGUGGGGAAUUUUGGACAAUGGGCGAAAGCCUGAUCCAGCAGUGCCGCGUGUGUGAAGAAGGCCUUCGGGUUGUAAAGCACUUUUGUCCGGAAAGAAAUGGCUCUGGUUAAUACCUGGGGUCGAUGACGGUACCGGAAGAAUAAGGACCGGCUAACUACGUGCCAGCAGCCGCCGUAA
rnacentral:rRNA from 1 species